rnacentral:rRNA from 1 species
GACGAACGCUGGCGGCGUGCUUAACACAUGCAAGUCGAACGGAAAGGCCCUGCUUUUGUGGGGUGCUCGAGUGGCGAACGGGUGAGUAAAACGUGAGUAACCUGCCCUUGACUUUGGGAUAACUCCAGGAAACUGGGGCUAAUACCGGAUAGAAGCUCUUGCUCCAUGGUGGGGGUUGGAAAGUUUCGGCGGUUGGGUCUGGACUCGCGGCUUAUCAGCUUGUUGGUGGGGUAGUGGCUUACCAAGGCUUUGACGGGUAGCCGGCCUGAGAGGGUGACCGGCCACAUUGGGACUGAGAUACGGCCCAGACUCCUACGGGAGGCAGCAGUGGGGAAUAUUGCACAAUGGGCGGAAGCCUGAUGCAGCAACGCCGCGUGCGGGAUGACGGCCUUCGGGUUGUAAACCGCUUUCGCCUGUGACGAAGCGUGAGUGACGGUAAUGGGUAAAGAAGCACCGGCUAACUACGUG